GACGAACGCUGGCGGCGUGCUUAACACAUGCAAGUCGAACGAUGAAAGUGGAGCUUGCUCCGCUGGAUUAGUGGCGAACGGGUGAGUAACACGUGGGCAACCUGCCCCAGACUCUGGGAUAACUCCUCGAAAGAGGUGCUAAUACCGGAUACGAACUCCUUGGGCAUCCUUGGAGUUGGAAAGUUUUUCGGUCUGGGAUGGGGCAGCGGCCUAUCAGCUUGUUGGUGGGGUAGUGGCCCACCAAGGCGACGACGGGUAGCCGGCCGGAGAGGGCGACCGGCCACACUGGGACUGAGACACGGCCCAGACUCCUACGGGAGGCAGCAGUGGGGAAUAUUGCGCAAUGGGCGAAAGCCUGACGCAGCGACGCCGCGUGAGGGAUGACGGCCUUCGGGUUGUAAACCUCUUUCAGCAGGGAAGAAGCGAAAGUGACGGUACCUGCAGAAGAAGCACCGGCUAAAUACGUGCCAGCAGCCGCAGUAA
rnacentral:rRNA from 1 species